AUGAACCGUAUCACUGCUAUGGUUGUCUACUGUCAGGUCUAUUUAAACUCAAAAUCUGACUAAUAAUAAUUAUUACUUUGUCGAUUUUCUGUUAAAUUUGCUGACACUUUUACACAGAUUUGCAUUUUCGUCAAAAAAUGGUAUAUUCGAGGACAGAAACUCAUAGCUCCGAAAACUGUAAAUGGGCAAAAGGUUGGUUCUCUGGAAAUGUCAUAAACCUUUACUGUAACUGUGGCCGUCACAAUGAUCAUACACGGGAAGACCAUGGCAAAAGUGAAUGCUAUUGGAGUGUUGAGCAUCGAGUUAAUCCAACGCGAGCUAUUCUUCGUAGGCAGUGUUAUUGCAAGCAGUACACCAGCCAUGUCGGUUCUAACGUUGAUGAAAAUUAACAAGAUUUGAUGAGAUCAUGGAAGAGGAAGAUUGCAUGCAUCCUAUUUGAAAGCUAUACAAUCAAGGCACAAAUUGCACCUUCAUGUCAAGACACAAAUUUCAUCGUCCUGUAGAGGAGAAUUAUGAAACUAAAUUUUACUCGCACCCUCCUUGUAUUCCACUGCUAACUACUCGCCUACUUUGCACCUCAUCAAUAUAUAUUUAGCCAACAAGCUCCACUACUGCACCAAAGAAAGCUUAGAAAAGAUAAUUUACAACCGAUAACACUUCUAUAUCCAGAUUAGAUUAAAAAUAAUAGUUAUAUUGUAAAAUUAAAUCAAGUAGGUUUCCCAUGAUCAGUAUAACAUUAACAAUAAUAUUGUGUUCCUAUAAUCGUAAAUUGUAAGGCUAGUAUAAUGAAGUGUUCUCCAUAGCAUCAUGGGCAAGCGUCAUGGUAAGUGUUAAGUCCACCCUAGGGACUGACACUAGGUAUUUUUAAUAAUUAGGAGGCAUUGAAAUGUCCUAAAUUGCACUUUAAGACUAUAUAAAAGCUUCCCUGAUAAAAGAAUCAUGGAAGAUGAUCCAAGCAGCAUGACCAACUGUCAAGACAUCAUGUGGAAAGUCCCAAGCAUCAUGGUACCAUGGUGCUUCAAGGGACUGGGGAGAACACUGAUAAUAGGCUUAUCCUUAUAAGCCUAAUUCAGAAUAUAAACAUACAAAUUUGUAAAAUGAAAACUACAAAAAUAUUCAUAAAAGUCUUAUUUGAAAUUAAAUUGUUCGUUUUGAAGUAUUGCAACAUGAAAAUAAUCAACUAAUAUCAAAUCAAAAUAUCAAAUCGUUCCAUUUAUAUAUCGCCAUUCCAACAGCCAUUGCUCGUGGCGAAGUGGAUUAGAUGUUGCACUUUUCAAUAACGCACUUUCAUCUGUCCAAAUGAGUUUAUUUAAAAAAUAUUUACCAAUAAAUUUUACAGCGAAAAAUGAUAGAAACACUUCCAGUCACUGCAAUUGUUUUUAUUAUUAAUUAUCAUUAUCAAGUAUAAAAAUCAGGAUACACAUUUUUUAAUUAAAAAAAAAAAAGUGUGUGCUUUAGUCAAAAAUGUGUAUGUUACAGCAAAAUGAGCAAGUUAAUUUCAAAUUUUUUUUAAAUGAUAAUUUUCUGUCAUAUUCAUUCGACAAUUCAUCUUUAACUCUGUUAAAAUGUUAAUUUCUUUGACUGUAGCACUUCUUUUAUAUUCCUUCUACACUAUAGCAUUAUACAGUAUUUGACCCCUUUAAAUAUUUAUAUUAUCUUAUGUUGUUGCUAUUAUUAUUAUUACUGAUGAAUGUCAUGUAGCAUUAUAUAAAUAAUAUGUAGGCCUGUUACUAUUAGUUAACAAUUAACAACAAAUGUUUCCCUUUUUAUACAGUUCAUUCCACAAGGGGUCGAUUUUUUGUAGGUCCUAAAUGUAGGUGUCAACUUUGAUAAAUCAUUAACAAUACCACUCUCAUUAUCAUCAUUAUUAUCAUUCUCAUCAUGUAGUUAUUUAAUUGACCUCAACAUAUAAAUUAUGUUAUUACUAUUACUAUUAUUAUUAAAAAUAUUAUUAAUAUUAUUAAUAUUAUUAUAUAUUAUUAUUAAUGUUAAUAUAGGCAUUUUAAAUUUACAUUGCAUUGUAACGUGCUAGUAUUAUGUACCGUAGUUGCAUUAAAAGCUCUCUAAACUUAGCUACAAA
rnacentral:lncRNA from 1 species